rnacentral:rRNA from 1 species
AGUGAACGCUGGCGGUAGGCCUAACACAUGCAAGUCGAACGGCAGCACAGUAAGAGCUUGCUCUUACGGGUGGCGAGUGGCGGACGGGUGAGGAAUACAUCGGAAUCUACUUUUUCGUGGGGGAUAACGUAGGGAAACUUACGCUAAUACCGCAUACGACCUACGGGUGAAAGCAGGGGAUCUUCGGACCUUGCGCGAUUGAAUGAGCCGAUGUCGGGUUAGCUAGUUGGCGGGGUAAAGGCCCACCAAGGCGACGAUCCGUAGCUGGUCUGAGAGGAUGAUCAGCCACACUGGAACUGAGACACGGUCCAGACUCCUACGGGAGGCAGCAGUGGGGAAUAUUGGACAAUGGGCGCAAGCCUGAUCCAGCCAGACCGCGUGGGUGAAGAAGGCCUUCGGGUUGUAAAGCCCUUUUGUUGGGAAAGAAAGGCAGCAGGUUAAUACCCCGCUGUUCUGACGGUACCCAAAGAAUAAGCACCGGCUAACUUCGUG